AGGAAAGAAAUCUGGAAAGCAGAAUUACUGAGUCAGAGGGUCUUUGGAAGGUUAUCCAAGUACAAAGAAGAGAACUCUGUUGGCAAACGGAGUGUCGCGUCUGGUGAAUCUAUGCACAGAUUCUGUUCGGAAGCCGCCCUGCAACAGAGGAGAUCAUCUGUCCAGGCUGUGCAGGACACCACAGAAAGGCGUGCCCCUCCCUGACCUCUGGCCACAGCAUUGCGGUGUUCCUUAUAUUCUAAUUAAGAAGACCCAGAGAAGAGCCCAUUUACACAUCUCUGGCAGGUUAGAGAUCCAAGAAAGCUGGUGGUGGAAUUCAGCCCGAGUCCAAAGGCCUGAAAACCAGGGAAGGUGAUGGUGCAUAUCCCAGUCCAAGGGCAGAAGAAGGUGAGAUUCUCCGGUUCAGCAGUGAGAUGCGUAAAAAGGGGCAAGUUUCUUCUGCCUCCCCCUUUUGUUCUGUUCAGGCCCUCAGUGGUUUGGAUGAUGCCCAAUCACACUGAGGAGGGCAGUCUUCUUUACUGGAUUCUCCAGGUCAAAUGCUAAUCUCAUCAAAAGCACCUGACAGAGACACCCAGGAACAACGUUUAAUCUGCACACCCAGAGCUCACUCAAAUUGACACACAAAAUUAAGCAUCACACCUCCCUUCAGAUGUCUAUCCCUUAUAAAACAUUUGUUCUAUUUGAUCCCAGAGACUUGCCCUUCCUUUAAUUAAUUUUGGAUGUUAUAAAUAUUAGUCCCCCUCCACCAUGCAUUGUUUAUAUUUUCUCCAAUUAUUCAUCUGAUGGCUCAUCGAAGGAACGUCUGCCUAGCUCUGCUUUAUAAUGGCUUUGUAUAUUUAGUGAAUAUUUUGAAGAAAGACCAUCAUUCAUGACAAAUGUGUAUCUUUUAGUACUUUUGUUUCCCAGCUCCAUAGAAUGUGUCUGACUGACUUUCUGUAAUAUCUACCCUCAGGCAAAAACAACUUGCACUGCUCUGUGACUCAGCUGGUCCAUUUCUCUAAUGGAUGCAAACCCACAUUUCUCUUUUUCAAAAUGACUGUUUAUGAGGUUUGUCGAUCAAGA